rnacentral:rRNA from 1 species
GACGUAGGUGGCGAACGUUUAUCCGGAUUUAUUGGGCGUAAAGGAUGCGUAGACGGUAAAAACAAGUUACUACUUGACGUCGAGCUCAACUUGACUGAAAAUUUAGUAAAUACUAUUUUUGCUAGAGAUUUGGGGAGAAAGUUUGAUGGAAAAUCUAUGUGGAGGGGGUGAAAAUCCGUUUGAUCUAUAGAGUACCACCCAAAAAAGGC